rnacentral:rRNA from 1 species
CAUGGCGUACUGCUCAGUAACACGUGGAUAACCUGCCCUUGGGUCCGGCAUAACCCCGGGAAACUGGGGAUAAUUCCGGAUAACGCACAUAUGCUGGAAUGCUUUAUGCGUCAAAUGGAUUCGUCUGCCCAAGGAUGGGUCUGCGGCCUAUCAGGUAGUAGUGGGUGUAAUGUACCUACUAGCCGACGACGGGUACGGGUUGUGAGAGCAAGAGCCCGGAGAUGGAUUCUGAGACAUGAAUCCAGGCCCUACGGGGCGCAGCAGGCGCGAAAACUUUACAAUGCGGGAAACCGUGAUAAGGGGACACCGAGUGCCAGCAUCAUAUGCUGGCUGUCCGGGUGUGUAAAAUACACCUGUUAGCAAGGGCCGGGCAAGACCGGUGCCAGCCGCCGCGGUAACACCGGCGGCCCGAGUGGUGAUCGUGAUUAUUGGGUCUAAAGGGUCCGUAGCCGGUUUGGUCAGUCCUCCGGGAAAUCUGACGGCUUAACCGUUAGGCUUUCGGAGGAUACUGCCAGGCUUGGAACCGGGAGAGGUAAGAGGUACUACAGGGGUAGGAGUGAAAUCUUGUAAUCCCUGUGGGACCACCUGUGGCGAA